AUUGCUGUUUUCAGUUUAUCUCCAUCUAUAAUAAUUUUCAAGAUAAUAACCAAAAACAUUAAAUUUCCUUAAAAUUACCAAUGUAGGGGCAGCAACCCAACAAUGGGUUGUCUGAUUCAUCUGAAAAUUUCAGGGCAGAUAGAUCUUGAUCUGAUAAACAAUUUUACUCCAUUUCAGAUUUGCUCUAAAUGCUUUGUUUUUUUAGUUUUAAGCCAAAAACUGCAUUUUACCCCUGUGUUCCUUUUUUUUUUUGCCAUGGCGGCCAUCUUGGUUGGUUGGCCGGGUAAAAAAACACAAAUUUUAAACAAGAUACAUCAAUGAUGAUUGUGGCCAAGUUUGGUUUAAUUUGGCCCAGUAGUUUUAGAGGAGAAGAUUUUUGUAAAAGUUAACGACGACGGACGACAGACGAUGGACGACGACAGACGACGGACGACAGACGCCAAGUGAUGAGAAAAGCUCACUUGGCCUUUUAGGCCAGGUGAGCUAAAACAUGUUAUGAAAACAUAUUAUGCCAACAUGAAUCGUGAAGCAAUACAAAUAAUUCUAAAACUUUCUGAUCACUGUGCUCUUAAAAUUACAUUCUGAGUUUACUUUUUUUUUAGUCAGUAAAAUUUGAAUGUAUUUGCA
rnacentral:lncRNA from 1 species